UGACACCACUGUAACAGACUUUUCUGUCUUUAUAACCAAAUUCACAACUCGUUAUGGCAUUUAUAUUUGAACAGAUCUUUCCAGCAAAUGAGACAUUAUUAUGCUUCUCACAAAUACGGCUUAUUGAAAUCAGAAGGAGACAUUCUUUUCAAGAUGCUUAUACUCCGCAGAGGGAAAGAAAACUGAUCCAUGAAGUUGCUAUUUGCAUAAAACACAGAAGCAUCUGUCAUAGACUCCUUUCUGGUUGAGUCUGGCAUCCAGGGAUCACUCAGCUGGUCUGCCUCAGCACUGGGCUCCCAUGAAGGCAAAGGGUCCCCAGUGAGGACUGCAU
ensembl:lncRNA